rnacentral:rRNA from 1 species
UGGCGGACGGGUGAGUAACGCGUGGGUAACCUGCCUUAUACAGGGGGAUAACAGUCAGAAAUGGCUGCUAAUACCGCAUAAGCGCACAGAGCUGCAUGGCUCAGUGUGAAAAACUCCGGUGGUAUAAGAUGGACCCGCGUUGGAUUAGCUGGUUGGUGGGGUAACGGCCCACCAAGGCGACGAUCCAUAGCCGGCCUGAGAGGGUGAACGGCCACAUUGGGACUGAGACACGGCCCAGACUCCUACGGGAGGCAGCAGUGGGGAAUAUUGCACAAUGGGGGAAACCCUGAUGCAGCGACGCCGCGUGAAGGAAGAAGUAUCUCGGUAUGUAAACUUCUAUCAGCAGGGAAGAUAGUGACGGUACCUGACUAAGAAGCCCCGGCUAACUACGUGCCAGCAGCCGCGGUAAUACGUAGGGGGCAAGCGUUAUCCGGAUUUACUGGGUGUAAAGGGAGCGUAGACGGUGUGGCAAGUCUGAUGUGAAAGGCAUGGGCUCAACCUGUGGACUGCAUUGGAAACUGUCAUACUUGAGUGCCGGAGGGGUAAGCGGAAUUCCUAGUGUAGCGGUGAAAUGCGUAGAUAUUAGG